rnacentral:lncRNA from 1 species
AUCACACUAUUAAACGAACUAAGUUUCAAUUAAGUACAAACUACCUAAUGCAUUUUUCAUUGAGUUAUAAACCAAAAAAAAACUAUACAAAUCCACUAACAUUUUAUAAAACUACAAAUACAACACCAAAUAAUUAAACUCCUUCGCAUCUUUCAUUUCAUGCUCAACUUUACUGUUACAUCAGUGUGAAAUUCUAGUGUGUACCUGGAUGUUGGACACAAGAGGAAAAGAGGAGUGAUCAAUGCAGCAGCAGUGAUAAAAAGCAGACAGCAACAGCAGCAGUUUCAAGCAGUAAAAUAAGCAGAAUAAAUCCCAGUGAAAGAAUUCAGCUACAACUGAUAGAAACAGUGCUCAAAAUCCAAACCAAAACAAACUCCGGAGACUCAGUUGAGGCCAAGCAGAAAUAGGUUGAUCCGCAAUGACAGUGGAACAACAGUUUUCUGGUUUUUGGACACUCAGAGAAAGAAGCCCAAGUUUCGAAUAGAACAAGACAGUUAAUGCUGAUUUCAAAACAAAAGGAAGGUGAAGAAAAGCAGAAUUUUCAGCUUCUUCUUUGCUCUCAAGUUUCUUUUAGUUCCAAACCCCUUUCCCUCUCUUCUGGUUCUAAACUCUUGGUCUCUCUUUCUAGUUUUUGGUUCCCUUUCCUUAGUUCUUUGGUUCUGUCCUUUAACCUCUUGGUGUCUCACCUCUUUUCUGGUUCUUAAACUCUCUCUGUCUGCCCCGAAAAAAUUAUCUCAAAACUCUCUCCUUCCCUAUUUUUUUUAGUUCUGAAAACCCUUCCCCCUUUAUAUCUGCACACAGACCUUCCCCCAGCUUUUAGAGCAACUAGUCCAAUAAAAUACUGAUCCCCUCCCAUGUGAACCUUCUGUUUUUCCACUCAAAAACUCAAAAGCAAAGUAUUCCUCAUGAGAUUCCUCUUGACAACCCUCCUUCCAUUAUUGUAAUGGUUUAUCCUUUUAUUAAACUAAACGAGUAUGGACAGCAUGAGUAUGUCCUGACAGCACAUGCUGUAAAGUUUGCUUUAAUUCAUUAAAGAACUACAAUGCACAUGCUGUCCAAAAAAUGAGUAAACAUGUCAUCAAUUCAAACUAAACUCUGAAAUCUAUAUUAAACUGCAGCUAUAAACCAAUCCUUAAAUAAUUUCUGAUUUAACUAAUAGACUACAAGCAGUUAAAAUCAAUUCUCAGCUGAUUCAAACAAUGUCUUAGUAAAAAUUAAACAGUUUGAGUCAGAUUAAUACCAUUCCAAACUGAAACUAAUCAACGACAUAUAUCGAAUUGACUACGCGAAUUACAACAUAUACAAUCAGUAGCAAAUGAUCAAAAUCGAACAGUAUUAACAUGUGGUUCAAAAUGUACUUCCCAAAACAAAGAGUUGCCCUGGAAACUAAUUAAUCGAUCAAAACUCAUUUCAAUCGAUUAUAUAGUUAAACACAUACACUCAUCAAUGAAUAGAGAAAAAAAAUCGACCAAAUAAAAGGUUCGGGCAAGGUGGACAGAAUAGUCGACACAAAAUGAAAACAACUCAACUGACAUUUAAACACAUAAACAACAUCAAUAGAAAACAACACGGAACUGACAAGGAAAAGAAAAAAUACCUUAAGAGUUUGAAGAUCAGACGAACCCGUCUUGGAUUCUGACUCGGACUUCUUUUGGGGUUGAACGGACUUUAAUCGAAGUGUUCUCAACUGAGAACACCUCGAUUAAGGUCUAUUAGACCCCAACCCUUUCGUUUAAUUGGACAAAACCCUCAGAUUCUGGAUUUCUAGGGUUCUUGGGUUUGAUUUGGGACUUGGAGUUUUCUGGUUAGAUUCGAACCAAACCAAGCUUGGUUUGGUCACGAGGGAGGUCAGGGGAGUAACUGGUAUGGAUUUGGGGUGGUUUGGCAUAGGUUGGGGUUCGACUCGAAUCUUCAAAUAAAGAUUCGAGACGAUGGGGGAAGAUCCGAGACCAAGGUUUGUAGAUCCGUGUCCAGGGGGUCGAGGUGCACUAGAGGUGUUAAUCUGGUGGUCACCGGCAUUGUUGCCGUCGGGUUUAUGGUGAGGGAACGGAAGGGCGGCGUUAGGGUUCUUGAGGGUGUUUGGGGAAAGAGACGAUGGUGGGGGAGGGGGUCUGGCUUAGGGGCGUGGGGGUAAGGGAUUGGGUUUAUAUAGUUAAGGGGAAACUUGAUCUAGGCCGUUAGAUCAUCAAAAAUAAAUGGCCUGGAUUGAUCAGCUCAGUGGAAACGACGCCGUAUGGGUUAAAUGAGACCAAUGGGUCUCUGGGUGAGACGGGUCGGGUUAAAACGUGGGUAUGGAGACGUGAUCUUGGUCGUUGAUCAAUCUGAGAUCAAUGGCCCAGAUCAAGCAUGAUCAAAACGACAUCGUCUGGACGUCCCUGAGGUCAGCUGAUCUGGACCGGGCAAUACAAAUGCUUUGGGCUCGAUUUGGGUCCAAUUUGAACGGCCCAAUUCCAAUUUCAAACUCAUUUCUUUUCUUCUUUUUUUAUUUCUAAUUAAAAUCCGAAUUUACAAAAAAUCCUAAAAAUAAAAAUAUAAAAAUAUAAAAUUAAAAUUAUAUCACAAGACAUUAAUUGAUUCUUUAGUAAUAAUUAACACACAAUAUCAUAUAUUAAUUAAACAAAAAUCAAACUUUAAACGAUGAAUGACAAAAUUACCAAAGAUAAUAUUUUUGUGAUUUUUUAUUCAUUCAAAACCAAAUACGAUUUAAUUAAUUCCUAAUAAUAGAACAAAAUCCUAAAUUUACACGCGACAUAUAUUUUUGUAUUUUUUAAUUGAUAAAACUAAACAAUCACAGAUAAAAGCUACAAAUAACUAUCAAAAUGCCACGCAAAUUCACAAAAUUAUACACAAAGACAAUUUAUUAUUUUUUUCGAUUUCUUUUGGAGUAAUUGUCGUGUAAACAAAAAUCACGUGCUCACACUCGUCACCAUGCCUAUACAUCGUACUUGAUAAUAAGCACGUAGUAAAUAAGACUCAACUCCUAAUCCCUCAAGCUAAGGUUAGGCCAAACACUUACCUCGAAGCUUUGAAUACCACUCAAGCCUCAAUUAUAGCUUAACCCCCUUGAUUUCACCACCAAUCCAUUCGAAUCUAGUCACAAGUUACUUAAUUACAUCAAUAAGUGCUAAAUGAAUCAACCCCAAUGCAUGAAAAUGAGUUUUCCCAAAGUUUUACCCAAAAAGUCAAAAUCACCCUCGGCCCACGUGGUUGAAACCUGAGGUUCGGACCAAAACCCGAUUACCCAUUCCCCCACGAAUCUAUAAUUUAUUUUGAAAUCGGACCUCAAAUUGAGGUCCAAAUCCCUAAUUUUUGGAAAAAUCUAGGUUCUACCCAAAACACCCAAUUUACCCCAUGAAAAUCUUUGAUUUUAAGUUGAAACCAUGUUAAAAGAUGUUAAUGAUUGAAGAAAACUAGUUAAAAAUGGCUUACAAUUGAUUUGGAGAAGAAAGAUUGUUUGAAAAAUCACCUCUUAUGUUUUUAGGGUUUUAAAAAGUGAAAAAUAGCUGAAAAUCCUGUCUAUUUAUACCCCUCUCAGACCCUCACCGCGGACCGCAUAAAAAGGACCGCGGCCGCGGAGCUCCACCGCGGACCGCAUUAAACGGACUGCGGCCGCACAGGCCUCCCUGAAGACCUACAGUUCAGCACCCUGUGCGGACCGCACAAAGGCGACUGCGGCCGCACAGCCUCCACCGCGCCCCGCACAAAGGCGACCGCGGCCGCGCUAGCCCCUCCUCGGACGCACGCGAUUUCUCGCGAACCGCACUAAAGGGUUCAGAGGCCUGCAACUUCCUGAACCUGCAACAUCUGACUUUCUAAGCCUAAGGCAUCCCGGAACAUACUCGAACUCACCCAAGCCCUCGAAACUCUAACCCAAGUAUACACACAACCUCAAAAACGUCCUACAGACAUAUUCGUGUAAUCAAAUUACCAAAAUAACAUCACGAGCAUCGAAUUAAACCUCGAGAUCAAUGAAAUUUCUCAAAACUCUUUUAAACAUCACAUUUCUCAAUUAAGGUACGGAUCGCGUCAAACGAUGUCCGUCUUUAAGCAAAUUUCACAGGAAUGACUCAAGUAUAUAUAAGACCUAUACCGGGCGACGGAACCAAAAUACGGGCCUGAUACCAACUCAUUCUAAUCAAAUUUCAUUUCAAUUUCCUUAGACAUUUUCAGAAAACCAAUUUCCUUAAAGAAAAUCACUUCUCGGGCUAGAGACCUCGGAUUCCAAUUCUGGGCAUACGCCCGAGUCCCAUAUUUUCCUAUGGAUCCUCCGGUACCGUCAAAUUACGGAUCCAGGUCCGGGUCCGUUUACCCAAAAUAUUGACCGUAGUCAAAUUUAUUCUUUUUAACAUCAAAACUUAGCAUUUUUCACAAAAUUUCAUAUUUAAGCUUUCCGGCUACGCGCCUGGACUGCUCACGCAAAUCGAGACGACUCAAAAUGAGGUUUUCAAGGUCUCGGAAGCACAUAAUGGGUAAGAAAAUAGGUGAUGACCCUUUGGGUCGUCAUAAAAAUUCCUCAUACAUGUCAUGUCACCAAAAACUAGCAUGAACAGAACUAUGCACAAAAUGGACACAAAAUGACUAACUGCUUUUUAUUGAAUAAAGGAUAGCAAGGUCCGAUAAUACAAAAGAAGAAGAAAAAAUGACAAAAUAAGCUACCAUGGCUAAAAGAGGAGUGACUUUCCAGUUACCAAGCAACAUCUUAGCGACACAUUCGCACAUCAGCAUUACUACGACAUUUAACUAUUUUGAUUGUUUUGGAUUGAACACUCAAAUUUUGACGAUCAUCCCGAGCAGCCCAUGUCUUAUUGCUCACAUCUAGUAAAGUCAACCCCACAUUUGCCUCCAUUUUUAAUUUUUCACCGCCAACUUGCCUACUUGCCUUUUUGUGACCCUGGAUCAACAACAAUGGUACUUAUUCCCUUGGUUGAGAAGAUACUUUUAUUUCCGAGAGAUUUUGGAUUGUUCUUGUGACUCGCCAUUGCAAACCAACAAACUGACUACCUUUGACUAGCUUUUAUUUCAAAACAACAACCAUGUUAGAAUAAACACCCUUUCUUUUUUUCCUUUUUUUUUUCUUUUCUUCUUUUUUUUCUUGUUUCUUUCCUCUUUUUCUUUGUGGUUUUUNUNNNNNNNNNNNNNNNNNNNNNNNNNNNNNNNNNNNNNNNNNNNNNNNNNNNNNNNNNNNNNNNNNNNNNNNNNNNNNNNNNNNNNNNNNNNNNNNNNNNNNNNNNNNNNNNNNNNNNNNNNNNNNNNNNNNNNNNNNNNNNNNNNNNNNNNNNNNNNNNNNNNNNNNNNNNNNNNNNNNNNNNNNNNNNNNNNNNNNNNNNNNNNNNNNNNNNNNNNNNNNNNNNNNNNNNNNNNNNNNNNNNNNNNNNNNNNNNNNNNNNNNNNNNNNNNNNNNNNNNNNNNNNNNNNNNNNNNNNNNNNNNNNNNNNNNNNNNNNNNNNNNNNNNNNNNNNNNNNNNNNNNNNNNNNNNNNNNNNNNNNNNNNNNNNNNNNNNNNNNNNNNNNNNNNNNNNNNNNNNNNNNNNNNNNNNNNNNNNNNNNNGGGAAGACUAGAAACAAGUAAAUAAACUAACUAUUUUUGGAUUUUAAAAUUUGUUUUUUUUCGAAAGAAAUACUUACAAAGAAGAAAAAAAAUAUUAUUUGGAUUUCGAUUUGUUUUUUUUAAGAAUUGUUUUGAAAAGAAAGACGUCUAAAAAAGAGGGGGAAAAUAUUUUCUUGAAUUUUAACUUCUUUUUCAUUUUUUUUUCUGGAAAUUUCGAAAGAAAAACUUCUAAAGAAGAAAGGAAAUAUUUUUGGACUUUUACUUUUAUUUAUGAAAGGAAUGCUUCUAAAAAAGAAAAUAUUUUUGAAUUUUGAAUUUUCUUUUCAAUUUUGAAAGAAGAAUGAAAAUAUUUUUUGAUUGUUGGAAGAAAGUAAAAGAAAAUAUUUUUGUAUAUAUUUUUUUUAAAAACGAUUAGGGUCUAAAAGAAAGGCUUUCUAAAGAAGCAAGUAAUGGAAAAUAUUUUUUGGAUUUUUUGAAAAUUGGGAUCUAAAAAAAAGACUUUUCUAGAGAGGAAGUAAAGGAAAAUAUUUUUAGAUUUUUUUGAAAAUUAUGGGCCGGAACCGAUGAGGUUUGUCUACGUAUCUCACAUCCGGUGAGAAUCAGACCCACGUAGUUCGCCCAUUUUUGGCGGAAUAGAAAAAUGACUUAUUUUGAAAUGACUUUUCUUUUUUCAAAAUUUCGGCAGAGUUUUAGGAUAUUUCAAAUAUCUACCUCUCACUCUCUUUUCUUUUUUCUUCUUUCUCCUUUUUUUUGAUUUUCUUUUUUUCUUUUUUUUUUCAUUUUCUUUCCCUAUUCUAGAAGCCAGUCAACAUGCAAGCCGAAACAGACAGAUACGCAAGUAGCACGUAAGAUGCAUCAGGAUAGUCUUUUAAUAUGGGUACACCUGUCCUAGACGGACCCAACUCCUGUGUUGGGUCCCCAAAGUCAAAUGCACAUGAUGCAAACAAGCGUUCCUACUAGGGAUCCGGCAAGAGGCUGAGUUAUACUAGGUUUAAAACCUGGGUUUAUUGUUCUAGACCUGGCUUACCCGAGCGGACAACUCGACCCGACGGGGGGGCUGCGUACCGGUAACCAAAAGAUCAUCCGGCUUUGCAACUUGUCCGAACCUCGUUCUAUUUGGGAUAUGGCACUAACAGAAAGAAGUCACGCCAGUGUGCACUCCUCAGGAGAGAGAAGAGAGAGGUUUCGUAGUAGUUAUAUAUACAAUUCAGAUAAUAUUUAGGCGGUAAAAAACAACAUUUAGCACAUUAGGCCCAAACAUGUAAAUAAAAUCAGAUAAUAAAUAAAGCCAAAUAUAAUGAUUAUUCUAAGCUCGAAUUCUUGAACCCUGAACCAGAGAUUCUCGGUUCUUAUCCCCAUCAGAGUCGCCAAAGCUGUCACACCUCCUUUUUUACCUACACCCCUGAAAGGGUAUAAGGGACUUUUUUCAAUUUAAGUGACGAUCGAAACGAGAUUAUUUAUUUAAAAAUUCAGAGUCGCCACUUGGGAUAAUUUAUGGUGUCCCAAGUCACCGGUUUCAAGUCCCGAAUCGAGGAAAGAUUAACUCAAUUUUACAGUCCGCGAACACAGAAAUCCAGGUAAGGAAUUCUGUUAACCCGGGAGAAGGUGUUAGGCGUUCCCGAAUUCCGUGGUUCUAGCAUGGUCGCUCAACUGUUAUAUUUGGCCUAUUUACUUGAUUUUAAUACAUGUUUUAGCCUAUGUUUCAAUUUUAACUUUAUAACCUCUUUAUUUAAAUAGUUUUCAGGAAGAUUCAACGUCAUGUAAAACACAUCUUGAACCACGUCACAUAAAUGCACCCGCGGUCCAUGACAUAUUUUAUUUAACGUUGUUGAGAUUUGAAUUUGGGUUACAUAAAUGCACACCCGAGUUUAAGGAAGUAAUUUUUAAAUAGCGCGCCUAAGGCAACUACGCAUUUUCAGAUUUGCGAGGGCCAUGGAAAAUUCAACUAAUGGAGCACCUCAAAUUUAAAAGAGUUCAUAUUAAUUAUCCGAGGGUCAUGGGUUAUGGAAUUAUUUGUGGGAAAAAUGUUAUGAAUUAAUAUUUGUCUAAAUAUGGGUCAACUCAUGAAUUGUAUAUACGUUGGGCCAUUAACAUUACUCCUGGACAGCGUAGAGGUUAAAGAAAAUGCCAAACACAUUUCAACCAUAAACGACACCAUCAAUAUAAUCAUGCUGCAAAGAACUAAAAGAAAAGACAAGAAACUAAAAAAAAAUAUCUCACCAAUCACAAAUAUAACAACAAAAUAUUUCAUGAAAACAUCAAUCAAUCCAUUUGAUAAUAUUGAUAUUUCCAACAGAUCUUCGUAGUAAGAAAAUGAUAGAAAACUUAAAAAAUAAACCCACCUAUUUGUUCAUUAACUCCACAAAGUGCAGUCCACAAAAAAAUUGUAAAACAAAUCUUUAUAUUUUCUUUGAUAAAAAUUAGUGCUAAUACCUCAUGAAUCCAAUUAAAACUAAUAGUACUGAAAGAAACAAACACAUAUUGAGAGGAGAAAAAUUAAGCUAACACUGUAAAGGCACUCAAACAUUCAACCAAAUACGUCAAAACUUCAAAAUCAUCCGAAAACAUACAACGUAAUGAGAUAGAGAAUGAACCUUUAAAAGCGGGAAAUUCCUUUAAACAAUGCCGCAGCUAUAGACGCACGAUUGUGCAGCGAAGAGAGAAACAGAACUUCGCCCCAAAAAAAAACUCGUUGUGAACUAGAACGGUACUCGAACAAAACACGCGACAGGAGCACUCGAAACCUCAAUGAUUUUGAAGGACUGAGAUGCUUUUCAUGGCUGGCUUUCAUGGCUAUGUUGUUGCAUUUUUCUGCUGAGUUUUGGAGUUGUUUUGGCAAUGCAAAUGGGAGCUUUCAAAAGCUGGUUUACAUGGCGUCAAAAAGAAGAAAUUGGAUCUGAUUUUGUGAGGAAGAAGAUGACCCAGAUCCCUCCUCCUUCACCUUCCUUUCUCUUUUGAUCUCUUUUUUAUUUUGCUCUCUUUUUGUUUUUGUUUUUUUUGAUCUCCUCUGUUUUUUUUCAUUCCUUUUU